rnacentral:rRNA from 1 species
CAGCAGCCGCGGGAAAACGGAGGGUGCAAGCGUUAAUCGGAAUUACUGGGCGUAAAGCGCACGCAGGCGGUUUGUUAAGUCAGAUGUGAAAUCCCCGAGCUUAACUUGGGAACUGCAUUUGAAACUGGCAAGCUAGAGUCUUGUAGAGGGGGGUAGAAUUCCAGGUGUAGCGGUGAAAUGCGUAGAGAUCUGGAGGAAUACCGGUGGCGAAGGCGGCCCCCUGGACAAAGACUGACGCUCAGGUGCGAAAGCGUGGGGAGCAAACAGGAUUAGAGACCCCAGUAGUCCCUGUCUCUUAUAC